rnacentral:rRNA from 1 species
AUUGAACGCUGGCGGCAGGCUUAACACAUGCAAGUCGAGCGGAGACUUCGGUCUUAGCGGCGAACGGGUGAGUAAUACCUAGGAAUCUGCCUAUUAGUGGGGGAUAACGAAUCGAAAGGUUCGCUAAUACCGCAUACGUCCUACGGGAGAAAGGGGGGGAUCUUCGGACCUCUCGCUAAUAGAUGAGCCUAGGCCGGAUUAGCUAGUUGGUAGGGUAAAGGCCUACCAAGGCGACGAUCUGUAGCUGGUCUGAGAGGACGGCCAGCCACACUGGAACUGAGACACGGUCCAGACUCCUACGGGAGGCAGCAGUGGGGAAUUUUGGACAAUGGGCGCAAGCCUGAUCCAGCCAUGCCGCGUGAGUGAAGAAGGCCU